rnacentral:rRNA from 1 species
UACGAAGGGGGCUAGCGUUGCUCGGAAUCACUGGGCGUAAAGCGCUCGUAGGCGGCUUUCUAAGUCAGGGGUGAAAUCCUGGAGCUCAACUCCAGAACUGCCUUUGAUACUGGAGAGCUUGAGUCCGGAAGAGGUGAGUGGAACUCCGAGUGUAGAGGUGAAAUUCGUAGAUAUUCGGAAGAACACCAGUGGCGAAGGCGGCUCACUGGUCCGGUACUGACGCUGAGGUGCGAAAGCGUGGGGAGCAAACAGG